UGCAUCUUCUUCCAGGAGUUGCUAGGAAUCAUGGCAGUUUGCGCUCCAACAGUUUAGGGUUAGGUCUUCCUACUGCAUAAUGGAGAGAAUUUCUUCAUAUAGCUUUUGUCGUGUGUGGAUUUGUUCCAGUUUCGUCUCGUUUAGUGUUUUGGAGAUUUUGGACCUGUGUGUGGAUGGCUGGGACCAUUUUCCCUGCAACGUUGAUGUUUCGAUUUCACGAUUCGUUGAGAGUUUCAGUUUGCUCUGCUCUAAUUGUGCGCUUUUCUUUUGGUUCAUCAGCAUGUUCUGCUCUCUGCUCAUCCAUGCCCCAGCAAUAUUAUGUGGUUGAAGAAGCUUGGAGUCUAUGAUGUCGUGACACUGAGCGAAUCUUAUGAAAGGCUGGUUUGCCAGGUGCCUAUAUGAGGCUCAUGGAAUUGAAAACCUGGUGUUACCAACUAGGGGUUAUCUUCAUGCACCAUCAUUUGAGAACCUUUGCCAGACAGUUGUCUCAUUCACGAAUCUUCUCAAAAUGUAUAUCCUAUGGUACGACAGAAUCACCAUGUAUGUUCCAAUUUAUUUUUGAUUGAAUUGUUCAUUGCAUGAGCAGAGUCCAAAAUCUAUGAUUUGACACAUUUUGUUUGUUUUUUUUAGUAAGAGAGGCUUUUAUGUUUAUUUGUCCCAUCACCUAUAGCAGCUAUUUUGUGCAAUAUUUUGAUUGGUUUUGUUUGUUUGAAACUCUUGAAGCUUCCCUGAAUAUGCUGCCAUGUAGUGCAUAAGAAAGAUUUAAAGGCCUUUUGCUUACUGCCUUUUCUGAUGUGCUUGCACUUCAACAUUUGUCCUCUAGGAACAUAUCAUGAUAUUGAUUUCCAUGGGGAGGUAGACAAAAAAUGAAGCUCAUUCAUUUCGUAAGAUCUAUCUUAUUGUGCCGUGUAAUUUUUAACUAGGUUUAUAUCAUGGAUUUAUUUCUGUUGUUUUAAUCUCGGAAGGAAACACUUCGUAUGGUAAGUUGACACAUGUUCAUUGCAAAGCUAGACAUGGACGGACCACAACAACUGUUCUUUGCUACUUGGUAUGCUUGGUUAUUUGGUCAUACUGAUACGACUUUAUGAAUGCCAUAGUUAAGUGUUAACCUGCAGUUUUGGUGGCAAGGAACUAUCAGUGUUAACCUGAACUAAUUGGUAUUUGCAUUUUUGUGCCAGGGGACUAAUAGUUAUUGUGCGCUGAUAUGACUAUGCUCUAUUCCUGGAACAUUUCGCAUUGCCAUUGACAAAAUGUAUAUUUGACAGGUAAUAACAAAUGGUGGAAUGAUUGCAUUUUCACUGUGCUUAGGAUGGAUUCAUCUUUAAUGCUAAUUACCUGCCAACCUCUUCGGCCCCAACAAGCUCGUGGAGAAGAAGGAAAGCAAGUUCUUCAAGUUCUUGGGGUUCAUGUGGAACCCGCUGUCCUAGGUCAUGGAGGCUGUGACAAUCAUGGCCAUCGCUCUCGCCAAUGGAGGAGGGAAGCCGCCGAACUGGCAGGACUUCGUGGGCAUCAUCACACUACUCAUCAUCAACUCCACAAUCAGUUUCAUUGAGAACAAUGUCGUCAAUGCCGCCGCCGCUCUCAUGGCCCGUGUCGCCCCAAGGGCCAAGACACAGGAUCGAGCUCUCCUCGAGUAACUUGCUGUUGUCAACGACAACGAGGGGACGAAUCGACCGCAACAGAAACGCGAAGGGUCUCAGAUCCUCCUUCACCUUGUCUUUGCCGCGGUGUUCAUCCCUUUCACAAGAGAGAAAAAAAAAUUACCAAUUCAAUCGGCGACAAUGGGCGCUCAACCUUGGUGGCGAUUCCUCGCCCUGCUGCUUCCGCUGCUCGUAGCAGUCGUGAGUCAGGUGGCUGGCGGCGUCCAAGCCCCACCCUCAUGACUCUUCUCAGUGGCCAUCUCGUGAGGGUGGCCAGAUUUCUGAACAUGUCGCGCAGGAGAGAUGGCAGCAGCAGCUGGAGCUAUGUGAUGGGGAACAAGGGAGGAGGCCAGCAUCAGGUGGGGAGAGGAGGUUUGGGCCUUAUUAUUUUUAAUGAGGGGUAGGGUAGUUGUCUGGUUGUUCAUGUUCUAAUUUACCUCAUUAGUGUUGUGCUAAAUCGAAGGCGAGUUCCAGUAGUGCCAUUGAUCAUGGUCAUUAGGAAAAUGAAUCAAUGAUGUACACAAAAGCUUACAGAUAUAGUAGCAUUAGACAACAUAUUGUUCUUGCUCAUAUUGUUCCUGAUGUUUCAGCGUUUCUCAGUUAAAUCAAUAGGAACUAAGGAAGACGUAAAAAGAUGAAUGCGAUGAAGGAAAUAGCGCAUUGUUAAGCAUCUUCACAUGAAAGGAAUUAAGGUUUUUCCCCCUUCUAGAAGAGAUAGGCAUCUCUGUAAAUAGAUCUUUCCUUUUCCAAUUCUGCUUCAUGAUGUAUUAUCUGUACACAAACUAUGGAGCUGUGGCAUAUGAUCUCACUAUUGUAAUCGUGCUCAAGCAACCGGUUACAAGAAACUUAAAUAAAGUUGCGGCCCGGUACUCUCUAA